rnacentral:rRNA from 1 species
AGUUGGUGGGGUAAGAGCCCACCAAGCCAAUGACGCCUAGCUGGUCUGAGAGGAUGAUCAGCCACACUGGAACUGAGACACGGUCCAGACUCCUACGGGAGGCAGCAGUGGGGAAUAUUGCACAAUGGAGGAAACUCUGAUGCAGCAACGCCGCGUGGAGGAUGACGCAUUUCGGUGUGUAAACUCCUUUUAUAUGGGAAGAUAAUGACGGUACCAUAUGAAUAAGCACCGGCUAACUCCGUGCCAGCAGCCGCGGUAAUACGGAGGGUGCAAGCGCUACUCGGAAUCACUGGGCGUAAAGCGCGCGCAGGCGGCCUUUUAAGUUGGAUGUGAAAGCCUACGGCUCAACCGUAGAACUGCAUCCAAAACUAUUGGGCUAGAGUGUGGGAGAGGAAGAUGGAAUCAGUUGUGUAGGGGUAAAAUCCGUAGAGAUAACUAGGAAUACCAAAAGCGAAGGCAAUCUUCUGGAACAUUACUGACGCUGAGGCGCGAAAGCGUGGGGAGCAAACAGGAUUAGAUACCCUGGUAGUCCACGCCCUAAACGAUGAAUGUUAGUCGUCGGGUAGCUAGUCUAUUCGGUGAUGCAGCUAACGCAUUAAACAUUCCGCCUGGGGAGUACGGUCGCAAGAUUAAAACUUAAAGGAAUAGACGGGGACCCGCACAAGUGGUGGAGCAUGUGGUUUAAUUCGAAAAUACGCGAAGAACCUUACCUAGCCUUGACAUAUAUUAGAACACCCUAGAGAUAGAGUGGUGCCUUCGGGAGCUUUUAUACAGGUGCUGCACGGCUGUCGUCAGCUCGUGUCGUGAGAUGUUGGGUUAAGUCCCGCAACGAGCGCAACCCUCGUCACUAGUUACUAACGGUUCGGCCGAGGACUCUAGUGAGACUGCCUUCGUAAGGAGGAGGAAGGUGAGGACGACGUCAAGUCAUCAUGGCCCUUACGGCUAGGGCAACACACGUGCUACAAUGGCCAGGACAAUGAGACGCGAUACCGCGAGGUGGAGCAAAUCUAUAAAUCUGGUCUCAGUUCGGAUUGUAGUCUGCAACUCGACUACAUGAAGCUGGAAUCACUAGUAAUCGUAGAUCAGCUAUGCUACGGUGAAUACGUUCCCGGGUCUUGUACUCACCGCCCGUCACACCAUGGGAGUUGAUUUCACCCGAAGCGGGGAAGCUAAACUGGCUACCCUCCACGGUGGAAUCAGCGACU